rnacentral:lncRNA from 1 species
UGGGAGUAAUUGAAAGCUUCUCUUCCAAGAAUACCAGCCUUUGUCUGAACCAUAGGAAUGGCAACAAGCAAACCAUCAAAUACCGCAUUCAUACAGGGACAUCCCCUCCCUCCACAAAAGAUGUCACUGAAGAGGACUCAGCAAGCCCACGCUGCGAGAAAGAACGGAUGUAUUUCCUCCGUCAAGUGGCAGAAGUGUGAAAUCGUUUGC